rnacentral:rRNA from 1 species
UAGUAACGGCGAGUGAAGCGGCAACAGCUCAAAUUUGAAAUCUGGCCCUCGGGUCCGAAUUGUAAUUUGUAGAGGAUGAUUUUGGUGCGGUAUCUUCCGAGUUCCUUGGAACAGGACGCCUUAGAGGGUGAGAGCCCCGUACGGUUGAAUGCCUAGCCUCUGUAAAUCUCCUUCGACGAGUCGAGUAGUUUGGGAAUGCUGCUCUAAAUGGGAGGUAAAUUUCUUCUAAAGCUAAAUAUUGGCCAGAGACCGAUAGCGCACAAGUAGAGUGAUCGAAAGAUGAAAAGCACUUUGAAAAGAGGGUUAAAUAGCACGUGAAAUUGUUGAAAGGGAAGGAUUUGUGACCAGACUUUUUCUGGGCGGAUCAUCCGGGGUUCUCUCCGGUGCACUUUGCCCAGUAAAGGCCAGCAUCGAUUUUCGGCGGCGGAUAAAAGCAGUGGGAAUGUGGCUCCCUACGGGGAGUGUUAUAGCCCAUUGUAUAAUACGCUGCUGGGGAUCGAGGUACGCGCUUCUGCAAGGAUGCUGCCAAAACCGGAAUCAAUCACCCGUCUUGA